GACGAACGCUGGCGGCGUGCUUAACACAUGCAAGUCGAACGGAAAGGCCCUGCUUUCGGGGUACUCGAGUGGCGAACGGGUGAGUAACACAUGUGUGAUCUGCGCUGCACUUUGGGAUAAGCCUUGGAAACUGUGGCGAUUACCGCAGAUGGGCCAUCUUGAUUGUUGUGGGUGGAAAGUUUUUUCGGUGUAGGGUGAGUUCGCGGCCUUUCAGCUUGUUUGUGGGGUAAUGGCCUACCAAGGAGGCGAUGGGUAGCCAGCCUGAGAGGGUGGACGGGCAAAUUGGGACUGGGAUACGGCCCAGACUCCUACGGGAGGCAGGCGUGGGGAAUAAUGGAAAAAGGGCGCGAGCCUGAUGCAGCGACGCCGGGUGGGGGAUGACGGGCUUCGGGUUGGAAAAUCCUUUCGCUAGGGAAGAAGCUUUUUGUGACGGUAACUAGAUAAGAAGCACCGGCUAACUACGUG
rnacentral:rRNA from 1 species